rnacentral:rRNA from 1 species
CGCGGUAAAACCAGCUCUCCGAGUGGUCGGGAUGAUUAUUGGGCUUAAAGCGUCCGUAGCCGGCUCGGUCAGUCUUCCGUUAAAUCCGACGUCCCAAGCGUCUAGGCCGCGGAGAAUACUGCCGGGCUAGGGAGUGGGAGAGGCCGACGGUACUCCCUGGGUAGGGGUAAAAUCCUUAGAGCCAGGGAGGACCAUCAGUGGCGAAGGCGGUCGGCUAGAACGCGCCCGACGGUGAGGGACGAAAGCUGGGGGAGCGAUCCGGAUUAGAUACCCGGGUAGUCCCAGCUGUAAACGAUGCAGGCUAGGUGUUCGGUCGGCUACGAGCCGCUCCGUGUGCCGCAGGGAAGCCGUUAAGCCUGCCGCCUGGGAAGUACGGUCGCAAGGCUGAAACUUAAAGGAAUUGGCGGGGGAGCACCACAAGG